rnacentral:rRNA from 1 species
UACGUGGGGGGCAAGCGUUGUUCGGAAUUACUGGGCGUAAAGGGCUCGUAGGCGGCCAACUAAGUCGGAUGUGAAAUCCCCAGGCUUAACCUGGGAACUGCAUCCGAUACUGGAUGGCUUGAAUCCGGGAGAGGGAUGCAGAAUUCCAGGUGUAGCGGUGAAAUGCGUAGAUAUCUGGAGGAAUACCGGUGGCGAAGGCGGCAUCCUGGACCGGCAUUGACGCUGAUGAGCGAAAGCUAGGGGAGCAAACAGG